CCGUGACAUCUCAUCUUGUCAAAGGCUAGCAGUGCCAACUUAAGUUGUUUUGCUUAUGGAGAGUCAUUCUGUCAGCAUGAAAGUAUCUGCAGAGAGAAAGACAAAAAGGCUGACUUUGUGGAUGCAUGACCAGGCAACGUUGCUAGGUUAGACUGUGCAACACUCUGUGGGUGAAGGGGCAGUGAAAUUCUGUGCCUUGACCAAAUAUAGACGGCCUUUAUUUUUCUGCUGAGACCUAUGGUGCUAAGGCUGAGAUGGAAAUGUUGCAACCGUGGAAUACGAACGGGUAUCCUCAAGCUCAAGUAAAAAAAAAGUAAAGAAUAGAAGGUAUUAUUCCUCGGUUGCCUGCUUUUUCCAAAGCAGGUAUCCUAUCGCUACCAGCCACGCUUGGGUUUCCGUCCAGUAAUUGUAGCUCUUCUCCCCUCUUGUCUGCCAUACAAAGCUGCCAGCAUCUUUGCCACUGCCACCAUAAUUAAAACAUAGCCAUUCCCAUUUCUGAUCCCAUUUGUCCUGUGCAUCUUCAUGGCAUUGAACCAUUUGCUGACUCUCAGCCAAGUGAAAGCUUUGAAAGGUGGCAAGCCAGUUGGCAGUGACGAGUUAAGUAUUUCCACCCUAGCGGCUCUCUGAAUGUGGCAGUGACUCAAGCUACACUCUGCAGCAUUUGGGCUGUUGGCAGCUGUUAAACGCAACAUAUAUUUCUUGCACUUUCAAUGAAAUGAAAUGCAUCCAAAAAUGGAAUCUUUGCAUGCAGCUCAUGAUAUAGUGAUAGAAGGAUGCUUAAAAAAAAAAAUGCAAGGCAAUGCUAUGGCAAACGCGGUCAAAUGCCAAAGGCAAGCUUCAGCACAGGCAACUGUAUCACAUAGGUUACACAUGGAAAUUAUGACAUGUGGCCAAAAGUUGAGUUAUGACGACCAGGAAACAUGCUACAAUGACAGAUGAAUGGCAGUGCUCAACGUGUACUGGCACCAGCUGGUAUUCAUUACACAAGCAUAAAAGCAUGUGCGAGCACUGAGCCUAUAAUUGGUUAUUUUCUUAUUCGUGUAAACAGCUAAUUGAAAUCUGACCUGCUGCAAAGGCUCAGUGACUAUGGAGCUCUGCUUCUGAGCUAGCAGCACCCACAAUAUGAUGCAAGCAGAAUGGAAAAAUUUUAGUGUAUUUGACCUUGGCGCACAUUUGAGAACUCCAGGUGGUCAAAUUAAUUCGUAGGCUUCCAGUCUGGCACCGUCUUGUAGCCUAAAUAUUGCUUUGGGACAUCAAAUUAUAGCAGUCAAUCAUUUGGAGGCCAUGUUGCAAAGACUUGAUUGUGGCAUUUGACUUGCACUUGGCAUCAAAGGCAGAGUUCUACACCUGAUGCUUAAGCCAAGUGAAUAUCGGCAGAAACAUUUGGAGCACAAACUAAGCGACAACUGGAAGUGCCUGGAUGAAAAAUAGUGUUUGUCUAUUUCAAACAACUAUGACAAACUAUGAGAUUUCCUAAUAUUUUUGCCGAGACAUAUUUUGAAGAUUACAGAGGCCCAGUGUGUCAGAACUGCUCACAAGAGUUGCAGUUUAAGACAGAGCUUGCAUGCAUGCUUGCUUCCUUCUGCUUCCGGCUAGACAAUCGAGCUCCCGCGCAGUAAAGGAUGCUUGGGAACCAGCAGCGCCCCUGGCAGGACACCCUGUAUUCUCCUUUCCCCCUCCCCCACCCCUUCGUCCCUGGUGUGAAAGUGGCUCGUGGCUUUUGUAGCUUUCGCCAGCUGGGGCAGCAGCCACACUGCCUCACAUUCCCUGUGUCAGGGGGAGGUUGUCUCUUGGGACAAGCUGGGCUCUUGUGAUGUGUUUCCCACGCGGAGGGAGGUCAGUCUUCCCUCCACCCACCUUCAUUCUUGGGAUGCUGUCGAUGUGCUGUUAAGAUUCCUAUGUCCCUAUAGUUGUCUUGUGUCCUUGAGUGUUGAGGAGCUGUCUUUUGGUUCAUGUUGGCCUCUUGAGUGAUGCUGUGAUUUCCUUGUUUGUUGUUUGUUUUACCUUUUCCUCCCCGGAUUGCAUGUGUUUCUCCUGACUAUUCUCUCGUAUGUAGUUUUCCCAGUUGUGUUUACUGGGACGUACUGCCUGUUCCUCAUCCGUCAGCUUCUAUGCGCCCUCUGGCACCUAUCGAGUAGCGUGCGUCUGUUGACCCCUAAUUUAUUUCGCGCGGCUUACUUUUUUUCUCGCUCUCUCUCUCUCUUGCCUCGAGACUGCCUUCCACCACCUCCCCUGCAUACGCGAGUGUGUGAUUUCACGCCCCACCCACGAACCCUGUCUCAGCAAAAGCCUCCCCGAAGAAUUGCCGUCUGGGGCAUAGAAGGAGCUUUCAGCAGUUGAAGGCAUGCAGUGAGAAUGCUGUCUAUGGGAAAUUAAUCCAGCUGUCGGCUGGAUGCAACUGAUCACCGUGUCUAUUCUUGGAAAAAUUAUUUUGUGAGGCCGCCAACCUUGGUAGCACGAGGGGUCAAAAAACGCAGAAGCAACUGUCAGUUAUUUUUCAUAGACAUGCUGGAGUGAACACACAGACGCUAUAAUCGGGGCGUAACUAACAAUGCUUGUAUAUAGUCAACACUGUUUAUACUUAUGGAGGAGAGAGAGGGCUGAAUAAGUUAUGUUUGUUAUGGACUUUGUGCAAAUUUUUUUGUUUCUGGAGCUCCUUUCUUGCUGCGGAGCCAAUGCGCACAAGGGGACACAAGUGGGUUGUUGUGCGCUCAGGUCUGCUACUGUUUUUUGUUGUACAGAUUGUAUCUUUUUUGCAAUGUUCUAUAUUUUUAAAAAUUAAAAAUCCUUGGCUCGAUUUAUCAUUACCAAAA
rnacentral:lncRNA from 1 species